rnacentral:lncRNA from 1 species
AACCUUAGCUGACUUAGGCAUGUAAAAAUCUACUUAACUUGCAUGUUCCUGCUUUCCGGUUCAUAAUUAUUCAUUGGCAGUGGACUAUUAUGUACAAAUAGGCUUGGAGUAAGGAUGAUAGAUGCGCUUUAACAAUUGGGUAUGGUUCAUAUUUGAAACAUGACAUAUGCAUGUCAAGAUUUAAUUACUGGAAAAUUUCAAAAUAAGGAUACUGUUAAUGUAAUACCUAUCAUUAUACACCACAUGAAUCAAACUAACUUGAAAAUGAUGAUGCUGAAUGAACUGUAAUUGAAGAGUAAAGCAAAAAUAGCAGCAAUUGAAAACUACCACUAAUUUCCUCAACAGUGAUAAUGGAGUUCUUCUGAGAACUGUAAGAUUUCCAGCUGAUCUUACGUGUGCAAUUGCGGAAGGAUCUUUGCAACUUUUCCACCCAUUUUUGGCAACUAGGCUUAGUAGAAUACUAGAGUCUCAUUCGUUUAUAAACAUUGAAUUGUAUUAAUAGUCACUUAACAAGUUACUUGCAUGUAGCUUUUAAUCACAGGCAGAAAUAAACUGAACACCAGUCACUCAUAAGAUGGAUGAAUGUUGGAUUAAUUCACCAGGAAGAUCCUUUAUACCUUGAGAAUCAUGGGGCUAAGAGGUUGGGAAGGAGGAGGAUAAGGUAGAAAAAUAGCCUUAGGCUGAGGCUCAUUGCAAUGAACCUUUGAUGCUAAAUGUGAAAUAGAAAGGGGGUGUUUUUUCUGUGACUUAAAGCAAAACCUCAACAUUGUGUGUGUAUGUGUGUGUGUGUGUUUCAUUGUGUAUUCACAGGUGUUUAUAAUAGUUCUGAUACAGUUGGUAGGAUUACUACAUGUGGUCAGUUCUGUUGACAGAAUUAUUAUUUGUGACUUUUAAUAACCAAAUGAUUUUUUUAAGGAAUUGUUUUUCUGUUACGUUGAAUGGAGAAGUUCUAUGUCAUCGAGAAGGAAAUAAAGUCCUUCAUGUAAUGAUUUUGUGCGGAGACUUUUGUUGACUUGUCUCGUGUCUGAUCAUUUGGCCCCUCAGUUGUCCAGCAUAACUAAGAUGCAGUAAAAAACCAAGCCCUAAACAUUUUCCAUUUUCAUCAAAAUAAUAUUAAUUAUGGGAUUGAGUGAUUCUCUUUUCUCUGGAGUAGUUCAAUGGCAAGGAACAGAAACACUCUCAAGCUAGUUUAAAAUAGGGACAUUGUUAGAAAGUACUGGGUUUCUUUUUUUUUUUUUUUCGAGAUGGAAUCUCACUUUGUUGCUCAGGCUGGAGUGCAGUGGCGUGAUCUUGGCUCACUGCAAGCUCCGCCUCCCGGGUUCAUGCCAUUCUCCUGCCUCAGCCUCCUGAGUAGCUGGGACUACAGGCGCCCGCCACCAUGCCUGGCUAAUUUUUUGUAUUUUCAGUAGAGACGGUGUUUCACCGUGUUAGCCAGGAUGGUCUCGAUCUCCUGACCUCGUGACCCGCCCGCCUCGGCCUCCCAAAGUGCUGGGAUUACAGGCGUGAGCCACUGUGCCCGGCCUGAGGCUCAGUCUUGAUACCUGCCAUACCAACCAUCCUUCUCUUCCCCCACCUUCACAGGAGGUAGUUUAUGUAAUGGGAAGUCUAUCUUUUGAAGAGUAAUAAGGUUAAAACUCAGUUCCAUCACUGAUUUGCUGUGUCCUUGGGUGAAUCACUUUGCUUUUCUAACCCUGGGCAAGUCACUUAAUUUUUUUCUUAAUAAAAAUAAAAUACAGAAAAAGAUACACAAAUGUUUAACUUGUCUUACUUUUCAUGCAAGUUUUUAUUUGGAAAGCAUGGGUUGAUUACAUGAUUACAUUUCAUUCUCCUCUUAAAAGACUGUUUCUAUGUUUCUUUUGUUUUUUUUUUUUGAGACAGAGUCUUGCUGUGUCACCCAGGCUGGAGUGCAGUGGCACAAUCUCGGUUCACUGCAACCUCCGCCUCCUGGGUUCAAGCAAUUCUGCCUCAGCCUCCCAACUACCUGGGAUUACAGGUGCCUGUCACACACCCGGCUCAUUUUUUGUAUUUUUAGUAGAGACGGGGUUUCACCAUAUUGGCCAGGCUGGUCUCGAACUCCUGACCUCAGGUGAUCUGCCCGCCUCAGCCUCCC